rnacentral:rRNA from 1 species
UACGGAGGGUGCAAGCGUUGUUCGGAAUUAUUGGGCGUAAAGGGCAGGUAGGUGGUCCCAAAAGUCUACUGUGAAAUCCCCGGGCUUAACUCGGGAAGUGCGGUAGAUACUCUGGGACUAGAGUACUGGAGGGGUUCGUGGAAUUCCCGGUGUAGCGGUGAAAUGCGUAGAUAUCAGGAGGAACACCGGUGGCGAAGGCGGGUCUCUGGGCCGAAACUGACGCUGAUGCGCGAAAGCUAGGGGAGCAAACAGG